UACAUCUAGAUGAAGGCCUCCACCUGCCGUCCUUCUGUAUGUCUACUUAGACUAUAAAUGCCUCUGCAAAUCCCUAAGAUCUAAGCUGCCUCUUCAAAAUCCAUCUCCUGUCCAGUAUGAUGAUGAAUAUCUUCAGUUCCAGAUAAUUGGAAGAAUGAGGCAAGAGAAUCACAGGAAAGAUCAAAGAAUUAAAUAAAACCUUACCAGGAAGUAACAGAAGGC